rnacentral:lncRNA from 1 species
GAUUUGUUUGUUGAAUUUGGCGAGGGUGGGGAUAUUUAUGAACUUGCAAUAAAUGAAAUGAAACAAAAGUUUAAAAAAUAUUUUAUUCCAAUCCCUCCUAUUUUUGGUGUAGCAGCUAUGUUAAAUCCAACAAUGAAAUUAGGAGGUCCUCACUUUUGGUAUUCUAAUAUUUAUAAGUUUGAGAUCUUUCAGAAGACGAAAUUGCUACACUAGCUGAUGCGAAAGCAUCAAUUAAAAUUAAUGCUCAAGUUGUUUAUAAUGCUUAUAAACAGGCGAUAGAGCAUGCUAG